rnacentral:misc_RNA from 1 species
UCGGUAGCGAUAUUAUCAUCAGAUAGGUGUUUCCUCUGAGAUUACAUUUAUUGGUAUCCCAAUAUCAACCAUUUUCCGUUUUAUUUCAAUUUCGUUUUCCAAUUUGUUCAUUUCGCGUUUCCACGGCUGAAGAGCUCCACAACAAACAACACGUGGUUGUUUGACAGAAUGUUGUUUCUCAAGAUUUGGAGCAGUCCGACGAGAAGGAAUGCCUGUAGCGCAUGGAUAAGGUUAUUUUCAUCGCAUGACAACCCCUUUGGCAUUCCUCCAUCAUCAAGUAAAAAGUCACCAGAGGAAAUGAGAAGAGAGCACAUGGCUCGAGGGUUGCCACGGAAACGUCAGAUUGAUGGAGUGAAACAUGUUAUCAUUGUUGCAUCAGGAAAAGGAGGAGUUGGAAAAUCAACAACAGCAGUGAAUCUUGCAUUAGGCCUAGCAGCCAAUGAACCACUCAAGGAUGUUGGCUUGCUGGAUGCUGAUGUCUAUGGGCCGUCAGUACCCAAGCUGAUGAACCUGCGAGGAGAGCCAGAGCUUACUCCAGAUAAUCUGAUGAGGCCACUGGUGAAUUAUGGAAUAAAAUGUAUGUCCAUGGGCUUUCUGGUGGAGGAGACUGCAGCCAUUGUGUGGAGGGGGCUCAUGGUGAUGGCAGCUAUUGAGAGACUGACCAGGCAAGUGUCAUGGAGCCCCCUGGACUAUCUGGUGAUAGACAUGCCCCCAGGGACGGGCGACGCCCAGUUGUCCAUAUCCCAAAACAUCCCAGUCUCAGGCCAUGACUGCCCGUCUGUCCAUCCCCGCGAAGUUUCGGAUCAACUCGUCACCUGUCUCCAGGGGAUGGUGGGAAAAAGCGACGAGUAUCACAGGAUCAUGCUUGGAGUGAUGUGGUCUGAACGUGUGUUCUGGUGCUGUAGUGGUGACAACGCCACAGGACAUAGCCCUGCAGGAUGCCAGGCGCGGAGCGGAGAUGUUCCGGAAAGUGGACGUCCCUGUGCUGGGACUGGUGCAGAACAUGAGUGUCUUCGUGUGUCCGAAGUGCGGACACCCAGAACAUAUAUUUGGGAAAGAUGGUGCGGAGAGAAUCGCUAGAGAGUUGAACUUAGACAUUAUUGGUGACAUACCACUGCACAGACGCAUCCAGGAGCUGUCCGACUCCGGACAGCCAAUUGUGAUAGCUGAACCAGACAGUCCUCAGGCAGAGGCAUACAGAUCUAUAGCAAAGAGAGUGGUAGAGCGAUUGGCGGAUACAUGAGU